rnacentral:rRNA from 1 species
CUAGUAACUGCGAGUGAAGCGGGAAAAGCUCAAAUUUUGAAUCUGGCGGUCGGAAGGCCGUCCGAGUUGUAAUCUAGAGAAGCGUCUUCCGCGCUGGACCGUGUACAAGUCUCCUGGAAGGGAGCGUCAUAGAGGGUGAGAAUCCUGUCUCUGACACGGAGGCCCAGGGCUAUGUGAUACGCUCUCAACGAGUCGAGUUGUUUGGGAAUGCAGCUCUAAAAGGGUGGUAAAUUCCAUCUAAAGCUAAAUACUGGCGAGAGACCGAUAGCGAACAAGUACCGUGAGGGAAAGAUGAAAAGAACUUUGGAAAGAGAGUUAAACAGUACGUGAAAUUGCUGAAAGGGAAACGAUUGACGUCAGUCACGUUGGUCAGGGAUCAACCUUGCAAAGCGGGGUGCACUUCCUGGCAGACGGGUCAGCAUCAGUUUGGAUUGCUGUACAAUGGCAAAGGGAAGGUGGCACUCCUCGGAGUGUGUUAUAGCCUUUUGUCGUCUGCAGGGAGCUAGACUGAGGAACUCGGCAUGGCCCUCGGGUCUGUAGCCUAGGAUGCUGGCAUAAUGGCGUUAACCGACCCGUCUUGAAACACGGACCAAGGAGUCUAACAUGCCUGCGAGUGUUUGGGUGGAAAACCCGAGCGCGGAACGAAAGUGAAAGUCGAGACCUCUGUCAUGGAGGGCAUCGACGCCCGGACCGGAGUCAUAGACGAAGGAUCUGCGGUAGAGCAUGUAUGUUGGGACCCGAAAGAUGGUGAACUAUGCCUGAAUAGGGUGAAGCCAGAGGAAACUCUGGUGGAGGCUCGU